rnacentral:lncRNA from 1 species
GUCCUCAAGUCUAUUAACUGAUAAUCACACGAGGGUGAGGAGGAGGGAAAGCGUCUGGAAUAUUGUACAAAGAUCUUGAGCCCACAGAGCUCCAGAGAAACCAGGAAUGUUAAGCACACGGGGCUGUCUUUCCAACGGGAAAGAUAAUAAACCUGUUCUUCUAACCAGAAAGCUGAGAACUGGAAGCUGUGAUCUGCGUUAUCUGUUGGUCCAGGCCAUAUUAAGCUCCCACAACCAGGACCAGAGGUGGCUAGUAGCCCGGAUGACCUCUACACUAUCUGUGUGACCUAGACCAGGGCAGAGCCUUCCUUAGGCCCUUAAGCUCCUACAGGUAGCACAUCCCCAGAACCCCUCUUCCUGGAAGAUACGAAAGGCACCCUGAAUUGAGUUUCAAUGUAAUUACGCUUCCUUGUGCAGCGAGGGUUGUAUUACACCAGGAAACUCUUUUCCAGAUGAUAAACUGGGCUUAAAUACACCAGGAACAAACCGUCUGUUAUUAGACUUCCCGAAGUCUGAUCCAGGUUGAGGAAAUCCAUCUGCACUGGGUUUUUACUGUUAUCCCUUCUCCCUGCUCACUUCUGUGUCUCGGCACCUGCCCCUUCUGAGAAACCAUUCCUGUGGAAUCCAGUUGUGGGUGAAUGGAGAGAAUCUCUUCUGGAGCACCUACAAACUUCCACUACGUCAAGAGGGACCUGCGAGGGCUCUAGGUGAAUUGCAUUUCAGAAAUGUAAUUUGUGUACAUACAAAAUUCAAUGUUUUAAGACCAAGUCUUGUUAUGUAGCCUAUGUUGUCUGGAACUUACUAUGUACCCAAGGCUGGCCUUUAUUUAGCUCACGAUCCUCCUGCCUCAGUAUCCCUCAGAUAGUAAUUACAGGCUUGCACUACCUAUGCCUAUGUGAUUUUUCUAUUAUCUUAUAACAUGGAGAACCCUCUGUAUCUUUCUGUUUGUUUUCGGACACUGUAGCCCUGCAAGCAUCAAACUCACUUAAUCUCCCAGCCUCAGAUCGGUGGUCAAGAAGCUUCUGGCUCUGCAGGCUGGUGAGAGGAUGAAGCCAGUUUAUCCCUCAGGGCCCUGGGAGCCCGACCACAUGAGUUUGAUUCCCCAGGUCUCUGUGGUGGAAGGGACUCCAUAUGAGAGUCAUGGCAUGGGCACCCACCCCAACACAGACUCCCACACACCACAUACCACAGCACACACACACACACUCUCACACUCACACACACU